GACGUAGGGGGCGAGCGUUGUCCGGAUUUAUUGGGCGUAAAGAGCGUGUAGGCGGCCUGGAAGGUCAGCUGUGAAAACUCGAGGCUCAACCUCGAGACGUCGGUUGAAACCACCUGGCUAGAGUCCGGAAGAGGAGAGUGGAAUUCCCGGUGUAGCGGUGAAAUGCGCAGAUAUCGGGAAGAACACCCGUGGCGAAGGCGGCUCUCUGGGACGGUACUGACGCUGAGACGCGAAAGCGUGGGGAGCAAACAGG
rnacentral:rRNA from 1 species